rnacentral:rRNA from 1 species
GACGAACGCUGGCGGCGUGCCUAAUACAUGCAAGUCGAACGCAGUGGGGACGGGUGAGUAACACGUGGGUAACCUCCCAUCAGAGGGGAUAACACUUGGACACAGGUGCUAAACCUAUAUUGAUGGAUCGACCCGCGGUGCAUUGGCUAGUUGGUGGGGUAACGGCUCACCCAGGCCACGAUGCAUAGCCGGUCUGAGAGGGUGAUCGGCCACACUGGGACUGAGACACGGCCCAGACUCCUACGGGAGGCAGCAGUAGGGAAUAUGCGGCAAUGGACGAAAGUCUGACCGAGCAACGCCGCGUGAGUGAAGAAGGUUUUCGGAUCGUAAAACUCUGUUGUUAGAGAAGCGGUAUCUAACCAGAAAGCCAUGGCUAACUACGUGCCAGCAGCCGCGGUAAUUC